AACGAACGCUGGCGGCAUGCCUAACACAUGCAAGUCGAACGAAGGCUUCGGCCUUAGUGGCGCACGGGUGCGUAACGCGUGGGAAUCUGCCCUUUGCUUCGGAAUAACAGUUAGAAAUGACUGCUAAUACCGGAUGAUGUCGCAAGACCAAAGAUUUAUCGGCAAAGGAUGAGCCCGCGUAGGAUUAGCUAGUUGGUGGGGUAAAGGCCUACCAAGGCGACGAUCCUUAGCUGGUCUGAGAGGAUGAUCAGCCACACUGGGACUGAGACACGGCCCAGACUCCUACGGGGGGCAGCAGUGGGGAAUAUUGGACAAUGGGCGAAAGCCUGAUCCAGCAAUGCCGCGUGAGUGAUGAAGGCCUUAGGGUUGUAAAGCUCUUUUACCCGGGAUGAUAAUGGCAGUACCGGGAGAAUAAGCUCCGGCUAACUCCGUG
rnacentral:rRNA from 1 species